rnacentral:lncRNA from 10 species
GCCCUGGUGACGUAGGCACCGGUGGGAAUCUCCUGGACUGCAGGUUGUGAAGACCAUGGGAAAAGCACAGUAUCCGGGCUGGAGUGCACCAUUCCUCACGGCACAGUCCCUCACAGCUUCCCUUGGAUAGGGGUGGGAAUUCCUCGACCCCUUGGGCUUCAUGGGUGAGGCAAUGCCCCACCCUGCUUUGACUUGCACUUCCAUGGGCUGCACCCACUGUCCAACCAGUCCCAAUGAGAUGAACCAGGUACCUCAGUUGGAAAUGCAGAAAUCACCCGCCUUCUGCAUCGAUCUCGCUGGGAGCUACAGACCGGAGUUACUCUUCACCUGAAUGACUUAAGAAGAAAAAGUGGGCAAAAUAACUGGCACACAUUAAUGUAACUACAUAUUCACAAAAUAUAAUGUGGGAAGAAGCAAGAAGGAAUAAGAAUAAAUGGAGAAGAUCAGGGAAAGUCUGAAUGAAGGCCAGCAGGCAGUAUCAGCCGAACCAAGAAGGGCCAUAAAGCUGCAGACCAGGAAAUCUGCCCUCUGAGAGCACAGAAUUUAGAAUGGACAGCAAAUUUAGUAAAAGUAGGUGUUCCAGCUAGAAGAUUUGGAUGAAAAGUGAUUCCAAAAAAAUGAGGCAAUCUCAUCCCGAAACUAUUUAAAACUACUCUCCUCUCUCUUGAUAAACCGUCAGUAGGAAGUGUGUCGUUUAUUCCCUCACUCCACACUGGAUUCAUAUGGGCUGAUAGCAGCAGGAUUAAAAAUUUUUUUCAUCAUGAGUUAAAUCCCUAAGAUUUAGAGUAUUUUGUUUGUCUGAAUGUCUAAGCGGUACAAACCUUAGCAAUCCAUAUUAAAAUGGAGAAUUCCUUCUUUUGGUAUUCACAAGCAUAACAUACAUAAUCCUUUAUCUCUGGCAAAGCUAUUCACUUUUUGGCCUUUGGCUGUUCG